rnacentral:rRNA from 1 species
UGGGGAAUUUUGCACAAUGGGGGAAACCCUGAUGCAGCGACGCCGCGUGAUUUAGAAGGCCUUCGGGUUGUAAAAAUCUUUUCUAUGGGAAGAAAAUGACAGUACCAUAGGAAUAAGGACCGGCUAAUUACGUGCCAGCAGCCGCGGUAAUACGUAAGGUCCGAGCGCUGUCCGGAAUCAUUGGGCGUAAAGGGUACGUAGGCGGGUAAGCAAGUUAGAAGUGAAAUCCUAUAGCUAAACUAUAGUAAGCUUUUAAAACUGCUCAGCUUGAGGUAUGGAAGGGAGAGUAGAAUUCCAAGUGUAGCGGUGAAAUGCGCAGAUAUUAGGAGGAAUACCGGUGGCGAAGGCGACUUUCUGGCCAUAACCUGACGCUGAGGUACGAAAGCGUGGGUAGCAAACAGG